rnacentral:rRNA from 1 species
UGCUAGUUGCACGAGUUCAGACUCGUAGCAGAUAGCUCAGUAACACGUGGCCAAACUGCCCUAUAGACGGCGAUAACCUCGGGAAACUGAGGCUAAUAGCCGAUACCGUUCAACGCCUGGAGUGGCGUGAACGCGAAACGUUCAGGCGCUAUAGGAUGUGGCUGCGGCCGAUUAGGUAGACGGUGGGGUAACGGCCCACCGUGCCUAUAAUCGGUACGGGUUGUGAGAGCAAGAGCCCGGAGACGGUAUCUGAGACAAGAUACCGGGCCCUACGGGGCGCAGCAGGCGCGAAACCUUUACACUGCACGCGAGUGCGAUAAGGGGACUCCGAGUGCGAGGGCAUAUAGUCCUCGCUUUUUUCGACCGUAAGGUGGUCGAGGAAUAAGUGCUGGGCAAGACCGGUGCCAGCCGCCGCGGUAAUACCGGCAGCACGAGUGAUGACCGCUAUUAUUGGGCCUAAAGCGUCCGUAGCUGGCCAGGCAAGUCUAUCGGGAAAUCUGCGCGCUUAACGCGCAGGCGUCCGGUGGAAACUGCAUGGCUUGGGACCGGAAGACCAGAGGGGUACGUCCGGGGUAGGAGUGAAAUCCCGUAAUCCUGGACGGACCACCGGUGGCGAAAGCGCCUCUGGAAGACGGAUCCGACGGUGAGGGACGAAAGCUCGGGUCACGAACCGGAUUAGAUACCCGGGUAGUCCGAGCUGUAAACGAUGUCUGCUAGGUGUGGCACAGGCUACGAGCCUGUGCUGUGCCGUAGGGAAGCCGAGAAGCAGACCGCCUGGGAAGUACGUCCGCAAGGAUGAAACUUAAAGGAAUUGGCGGGGGAGCACUACAACCGGAGGAGCCUGCGGUUUAAUUGGACUCAACGCCGGACAUCUCACCAGCAUCGACAAUGUGCAGUGAAGGUCAGAUUGAUGAUCUUACUGGAGCCAUUGAGAGGAGGUGCAUGGCCGCCGUCAGCUCGUACCGUGAGGCGUCCUGUUAAGUCAGGCAACGAGCGAGACCCACAUCCUUAAUUGCCAGCAACACCCUUGUGGUGGUUGGG